AAAUUUAUUUUUAUAACAUUUGAUACAGUUUGGAUCUGUGUUCCCACUAAAUCUCACAUUGAAAUGUAGUCCCCAGUGUUGGAGGCGGGGCCUGGUAGGGGGUGUUUGGAUCAUGAGGGCAAAUCUCUUUAACAUCUAGCUUUGAUCCUCUGAACUGGAGUCCUGCAUCCUUGAGAUAACUCUACACUCAUGAUGGAGUGAGAAUGACAAAGGCAAACAAUACCUCAGCAUCACCAUGGAAACCACUGGGACCUCGGGGGUCAUAAGAGGGCCCCAGGGACCCACAGGCUGCUGGGAUCACACUUUUGAGAACCACUGCUCUGCUGCUCUGAUCAGCUCCUUAUACUUGCUGCUCGAUGUGCUAGCCCUGGCGCUGGCUAUUGAAGAGCUAGCAGUGGCCACAUGGAAGCCCUGGACAGCUUAGUGGUGUGCUCUACAAAUGACUCUGUCCAGGGCAUCUCCCAACACAGCAGUGGGACAAGAAGACAAUGACGGGAUGUUGCAUGAACUGACCCUCAGAACCCAAUGUCCAGGAGAACAUGAACUGGGAUCUUGAAGUUCUUCAGAAAGAUCAGAGUGAGCGGUGGCCCUGAGUCACUCUGUAGCAGUCAUGGCAGUGAGAAGAGCCACUCUCUAAUCAUAAUGGAAUUGCAAGAUUGCCAAAUUAAGUCACCCAGUUAAUUGUGGCCCUUAAUUUUACUCUAGGAAUCUGUGCUGUCCUAAUCUUAGCAUUUCCAGGGAGACAUGGCAGCUGUUGGGGGCAGGAGGAAUCACCGUGUUCCAUGUGACCACCAGGCUCUACAGGCUCUAAUUUUAAAUUAUGACAGGGAGGGAGAAGGCUGAGAACCAUGCUGCUGACACUGAGACAAGGGUUCCCAGAGGUUCAUUUUCCCUGGACAUGGCAAAAAGACUUUGCAUAGCCUUUUCAAAGAUUUGGCAAAUACUAUGG
rnacentral:lncRNA from 10 species